rnacentral:tRNA from 1 species
GUGGAUGUAGCUCAGCUGGCAGAGCCCCUGGUUGUGGUCCAGGUGGUCGUGGGUUCGAAUCCCAUCAUCCACCCCA